GACACCCCCCCAACUUGUCGUCUUCAACUCUUCCCACACCACGCCGAAUUGCCGAAACCCUAGCCACCCCUCUUCCCCCUCAAAGCGGCGGCGGCGGCGGAGGCCGCUGCAUCGCCUGCUAAGAUGUCGGGCGGCUUCUUCCGGGGGACGUCGGCCGAUCAGGACACCCGUUUCUCCAACAAGCAGGCGAAGCUGCUCAAGACGCAGAAGUUCGCGCCCGAGCUUGAACACCUGGUGGACAUGACUAAGGUGAAGAUGGAUGUGAUGAAACCAUGGAUCGCGACCCGUGUCACCGAGCUCCUAGGGUUCGAGGACGAAGUGCUCAUCAACUUCAUCUACGGCCUCCUCGAAGAGAAGGAGGCGGAUGGAAAGAAGAUACAGAUACAGCUGACAGGAUUCAUGGAGAAGAACACAGUGAAGUUCAUGAAGGAGCUGUGGAGCCUCCUACUCAGUGCACAACAGAAUGCUAGUGGGGUGCCCCAACAGUUUUUAGAUGCAAAGGAAGCUGAGAUUCAGCAGAAAAAGGCAGAGGAAAGUAGAAUUGCUCAGGAGAUCCAGAAGAAACGGGAGAAAGAUGGAAGGGAGCAAGAACUAGAGAAACAAAAAUUGAUGAUAGCUUCUCCGAUUAUUUGGGUUCAUAUCGUUCUUUACCUCAAAACUGCUGUAGGACGGGGAUGCCGGUAAUUCUAGAUUAGGUCCUGAUCGUGCUGAUGCUGAGGAGGAAAAAGAACUGGAUUCUAAGCAUAGCUCAAGAACAAAGAGCCGGGAAAGCCUUAGGUCCAGGAGCAUCUCCUUGUCGCCUCGCGGUAGGCGGCGAUCUGUUUCUCCUAGGAGGCGUUCUCCAUCUCCUUCCAGAAAUUCCAUUUCUUUUGGGAGACAGCAACGAUCUUCAAGGCGCUCAGUUUCACCUAGGCGUUCUUUUUCUCCACGAAAGCGUUCUCCAAGAAGUACCCCUUCGAUGUCGAGGCGGAGAUCACCGUAUUCCAGAAGAUCACCUUCAGUACCAAGACAUCGAUCUCCGUCACCUCAUCGUAGAUCUCAUAUUCGCAGGAAAUCUCCACCUUUUGUGCGUCAGAGAUCACCAUCUCCACACCAUCGCCGGUCUCCAGGUCGUGCACCAAGAUCACCAUCUCCUGCACGUCAUAGAUCUCCUCGGCGCAGGUCAUCUCUAGACAGGCAUUGGUCUCCAUCUCCAGGAAGACGUAGGCCUCGGUCCCCUUCACCCGGACGACGUAGGCCACGGUCCCCUUCACCCGGACGACGUAGGCCACGGUCCCCUUCACCAGGAAGACGUAGGCCACGGUCCCCUUCACCAGGAAGACGUAGGCCACGGUCUCCAUCUCCGGGUAGACGCAGGCCAAGGUCACGAUCUCCAGGAAGACGAAGAUCCCCCUCUCCUCGAGGCUCUCCGCGGUUGAGGUCACCAAAACGCCCUAGGAGAUCGCCAAUUUCACCCAGAAGUCGUUCUGCAAACCGUCGGCCCUCUCCACAACGAAGGAGGAGUACCAGUCCACACGAUAGGAGCCCAAUCCAUUCUCGCAGGAGCUUGAGUAGAGACAUUGAAAAAGGAACAAACGGCAUUCCCUCCAGUAACGAUGUAGAUGUGCUUCAAAGGAACAAAGAAAGAUCACACGAUGACAAUAGGAAUGAUACAGAAGUGAGUGGCCAUCUUUCAUCGGAUUCUGAGCAUCGUAAGCUGACAAAAUCCUUGAAUUCUCCAAACAAGCCAGAAAGGAACUCGACACGCGAUAGUUCUUUGAAGGGCACUGAUAAGCACUUGCCCAGUCAGGUCAGAACAGAUAGCAGUGGAGAAGAGGAGGGCAGUCGUGCAAGAGAGAAUGCACGAAAAGCAAAUUCAUCACGCAGAAAAAUUAAGGAUUUCUCAGCAGAUCUGGAACUAAAGAAAGCACAUGAUGAUUUGAGCCCUGGAGAAAAAUCUCCAUCACAACAUAGUGGCAAGGAGACAAGGAGGAAACAGAACAAUCAACUGUCAGAGUCAUCAGAAGAUGAGCGUGAUGGUAGAAGAACGAAACACACGGUUGAUUCUCCUGAUGAUUCCCAACAGAAACAGCACACUCCUAGUAGAGUUGGAAUGCACAACUCUUAUUCAAAGGAUGGCAUGAACAGUGAGGAUGCAAUAAAGGGUUUACGUGACGGUAUGGCUUCUAAGAAGUAUCCUGCUAAAAUCGAUGAUGAUUCUGAGUCAGAAGAUGGAAGUCCUUUUCGAAAAGAUAAGAGAAAAGCACACGGUAAUAACAACAUUGAUUCUGGCAGUUCAGGUUCAGAAGAAUCAGGGAAACAUAGAUCCCAUUCUGAGAAGCGAAAGCAUAAAAAGAGCCGUAAGCAUAAGAGACGUUAUGAUGACAGUUCUGAUGAAUCUAAUUCGGAGUCAGAUGACAAAGAGUCCAAGAGGAGGAGAAAGGAAGAGAAGAGGUUGCGAAAAGAGGAAAGACGGCGCAGACGUGAAGAGCGGCACCGUAGAAAGGCAGACCGUCAGGCCAGCAAACUAAAACUGAAGCAUGCUGAAACUGUUGAUAUGGCUUCAGAUCUUGAGAAGGAUCGUGAAUCUGACUCAGAUGCUGAUGCUAGGAAGAAAGGUUCAUAUAAUGGAAGAGACGAAUCGGAUCAGCAGAAACUUGAAAUUGAGCUUCGCGAGAAGGCUCUGGAAUCUCUUAGAGCAAAGAAAGCCAUCAACCACUAGGCUGAGGAAUCUCUUGCUAUGCAUUUACAUCUUUUAAAAACUUUUCUUUUGCUUAUAUCAUGUUCUGGAAGUGUGCUUAUAUGACUCCUAUUUAAUGUUCUGUAUGUUUACGUGGCAGUUGACCUGAGUAAUUGAGGAUUCCUGAGCUGUUUGCUUGAUGCAGCUGUAUUCAGGCUUAGCUGCUAGUUAUCUGAUUAGCACCAUGUGCACAAGCUUUUUAUGUUCCUCAGGGUGAUUUAAUCCACACCUCAACAACAACCAAGUUGGUAACCUCUUUGAUGUUGUGAAUAGUAUCAGAGUACCUGUUUAAAGUUACUGAUUCUUGGCUUGAGGUUUGUGUUACUCCCUUCAUGACUUGGUUCUGAUCAAGUAAUGAAAAUAUGUAUGUAUUUCUCUGAUGCUUGCUUAGGGUGCACUGUUGUUGAGACCAGACGGAACGCCCAUAAGCAAAUGUUUUGUACUGUUGAGAGAACACUUCAUCUUGCCCUCUUAUUUUGCGGUUCCAGCAUGGAGCAAAUCGUUAUAUUUGAGUUGCGAAUUUACUCA